CUAAAAUACUUUUUCUAGUGUAGUUUUUUUUCGUUUUCUGGAUUCAUCUAACUGACAUCAGUGGAGCCAUGUGCCAGAGCCUGCACCAAGCACAGAGCAUCCUAGCUGUCUGAAACACCCACAUUCUCAUUCAUUUUUAUUUCCGAGAAAACCAUUCGUAUUUGUGCUUCAGAAACAAUAGUUUGAGGCAUUCCCUAUGCAAAAUAAGCUUGCAAACAAAUGUGAGAGGAAAAGCGAAUUUCCUUUGAGAGGCCCAAGUACAGAGUGGAAUUUGCUGGAGAAGCCCAAUUCAGUGUUUUAAAAAGCACAUUUAUUUCAAGGAAAAGAGAACUUUGGGAAGAGAAUAGAUAAGGAAGGGAAUAGUAGGGAGAAAUAUAGUAGAAGCUACCAUUGGAUCCUAUUGUGGUUGUAGUCAAUCCCCAAAAUUAUCUAGACAACAGGUCCGGAAAAACUUUAGACUCUGGACUCUGCGCUUCACAUGGGGAGAGGAAUCACAUGUGGCGUCUUCACUGUGUUUGCAGUGGGAUGUCUACGUAUUGUGGGCAGCACCAUGAGCCUGGGAGCUGUAUAAGGCUCCUUGGUUAACCAUAAGACAGUAUUCUACCCUGAACAUUAUGAAACACAGCCAAUAAAUUAAGUAUGUAAGGUCAUGGUAAAAAUCCCACAGCAUUCAAUUAGGAAAACAUAGAGAAAGCAUUUGGAAACUCAACAGCAGGAUUUUUGUGUCAGCAUGCCACAUCUUGGUAAGUUCUCACAAAUGUGAUGUCUUCAAUUUCCAUACAAGAUGAAGCAAAGGAGACAACUUCAUCAUUUUUAACAGCUGAGAUUCUGCUGGAGUUGGAGUUGAUUUAUUUAUUCAUUGUCUGCAAAAUCAAAAUAAAGGCAACAAUGAGUUACCACUAUACAUGUGUGAGAAUAUCAUAUUUCAAAAAGGACAGUAACAACAAAUGGUGAGAAUAUGGAGAAAAAGGAACCAUUCUACACUGCAAGUGGAAAUGUAAAUUGUUCUAACACUUGUGGAAAACAGUCUGGAAACUUCUCAGAACACUCAAAAUGGACUCACCCUAUGACUCUAAUUUUUCUCAUAGGCAUCUACCCAAAGAACUCAAAACACCUAUCCAAAGAUAUCUCUAUACAUCUAUGUUCCUUCUAUUUCAUAUUUAUUAAACUUCUUU